rnacentral:misc_RNA from 1 species
AUAGAGAGCUGCCCGGUUACCUCGGGCGCCUUCUCCACCCAUUGUCUGUUAUACGUUAGUUGCUUUGGCGGGUCCGGGCCAACAUGGCACGGCUGGCUUAUGCCUUCCAGCACCCGCCAGAGGUCAAUAUUCAAAACUCUGAAGUAAACCAUGAAGUCUGAAAACACUAUGAAAAUAGCCUA